GACAGAGGGUGCAAACGCUGUUCGGAAUUACUGGGCGUAAAGCGCGUGUAGGUGGCGAGGCAAGUCGGGUGUGAAAGCCCUGGGCUCAACCCAGGAAGUGCACUCGAUACUGCCUAGCUAGAGUCCCGGAGAGGUUGGUGGAACUCUCGGUGUAGAGGUGAAAUUCGUAGAUAUCGAGAAGAACACCGGUGGCGAAGGCGGCCAACUGGACGGUGACUGACACUGAGACGCGAAAGCGUGGGGAGCAAACAGG
rnacentral:rRNA from 1 species